AACGAACGCUGGCGGCAGGCUUAACACAUGCAAGUCGAACGCCCCGCAAGGGGAGUGGCAGACGGGUGAGUAACGCGUGGGAACAUACCCUUUUCUACGGAAUAGCUCUGGGAAACUGGAAUUAAUACCGUAUACGCCCUACGGGGGAAAGAUUUAUCGGGGAAGGAUUGGCCCGCGUUGGAUUAGCUAGUUGGUGGGGUAAAGGCCUACCAAGGCGACGAUCCAUAGCUGGUCUGAGAGGAUGAUCAGCCACAUUGGGACUGAGACACGGCCCAAACUCCUACGGGAGGCAGCAGUGGGGAAUAUUGGACAAUGGGCGCAAGCCUGAUCCAGCCAUGCCGCGUGAGUGAUGAAGGCCUUAGGGUUGUAAUGCUCUUUCACCGAUGAAGAUAAUGACGGUAGUCGGAGAAGAAGCCCCGGCUAACUUCGUG
rnacentral:rRNA from 1 species